GACGAACGCUGGCGGCGUGCCUAAUACAUGCAAGUUGAGCGCUGAAGGUUGGUUCUUGUGCCAACUGGAUGAGCAGAAAACGGGUGAGUAACGCGUGGGGAAUCUGCCUUUCAUCGGGGUACAACAUGUGGAAACGGGUGCUAAUACCGCAUAAACUCUUUAAGCACAAGUUUUAAGUUUGAAAUAUGCAAUUGCAUCACUCAAAGAUGAUCUCGCGUUGUAUUAGCUAGUUGGUGAGGUAAAGGCACACCAAGGCGAUGAUACAUAGCCGACCUGAGAGGGGGAUCGGCCACAUUGGGACUGAGACACGGCACAAACUCCUACGGGAGGGAGCAGGAGGGAAUCUUCGGCAAUGGACGAAAGUCUGACCGAGCAACGCCGCGUGAGUGAGGAAGGUUUUCGGAUCGUAAAACUCUGUUGGUAGAGAAGAACGUUGGUGAGAGUGGAAAGCUCAUCAAGUGACGGUAACUACCCAGAAAGGGACGGCUAACUACGUG
rnacentral:rRNA from 1 species